UACGGAGGGAGCUAGCGUUAUUCGGAAUUACUGGGCGUAAAGCGCACGUAGGCGGCUUUGUAAGUAAGAGGUGAAAAGCCCAGAGCUCAACUCUGGAAUUGCCUUUUAGACUGCAUCGCUUGAAUCAUGGAGAGGUCAGUGGAAUUCCGAGUGUAGAGGUGAAAUUCGUAGAUAUUCGGAAGAACACCAGUGGCGAAAGCGGCGACCUGGCCUGACAUUGACGCUCAUGCUCGAGAGCGUGGGGAGCAAACAGGGAUUAAGAAACCCCGGAG
rnacentral:rRNA from 1 species